rnacentral:rRNA from 1 species
GCAGGCUGCAACCCGCCUGCAUGAAGUUGGAAUCGCUAGUAAUCGCGGAUCAGCAUGCCGCGGUGAAUACGUUCCCGGGCCUUGUACACACCGCCCGUCACACCAUGAGAGUCGGGAACACCCGAAGUCCGUAGCCUAACCGCAAGGGGGGCGCGGCCGAAGGUGGGUUCGAUAAUUGGGGUGAAGUCGUAACAAGGUACC